UGCGACCCCAGGUCAGGCGGGACUACCCGCUGAGUUUAAGCAUAU
rnacentral:rRNA from 2 species